AGGAUGAACGCUGGCGGCGUGCUUAACACAUGCAAGUCGAACGAUGAACUGGCGCUUGCGUCGGGGAUUAGUGGCGAACGGGUGAGUAACACGUGAGUAACCUGCCCUUAACUCUGGGAUAAGCCUGGGAAACUGGGUCUAAUACCGGAUAUUGACUUUUCACCGCAUGGUGUUUUGUUGAAAGCUUUAGUGGUUUUGGAUGGACUCGCGGCCUAUCAGCUUGUUGGUGAGGUAAUGGCUUACCAAGGCGACGACGGGUAGCCGGCCUGAGAGGGUGACCGGCCACACUGGGACUGAGACACGGCCCAGACUCCUACGGGAGGCAGCAGUGGGGAAUAUUGCACAAUGGGCGAAAGCCUGAUGCAGCGACGCCGCGUGAGGGAUGACGGCCUUCGGGUUGUAAACCGUCUUUCAGUAGGAACAAGGCCACACGUUGUGUGGUUGAGGUACUUGCAGAAGAAGCGCCGGCUACUACGUGCCAGCAGCCGCGGUA
rnacentral:rRNA from 1 species